rnacentral:rRNA from 1 species
GACGAACGCUGGCGGCGUGCUUAACACAUGCAAGUCGAACGGAAAGGCCCUGCUUGCAGGGUACUCGAGUGGCGAACGGGUGAGUAACACGUGGGUGAUCUGCCCUGCACUUCGGGAUAAGCCUGGGAAACUGGGUCUAAUACCGGAUAGGAGCCAUUUUUAGUGUGAUGGUUGGAAAGUUUUUUCGGUGUAGGAUGAGCUCGCGGCCUAUCAGCUUGUUGGUGGGGUAAUGGCCUACCAAGGCGGCGACGGGUAGCCGGCCUGAGAGGGUGGACGGCCACAUUGGGACUGAGAUACGGCCCAGACUCCGACGGGAGGCAGCAGGGGGGAAUAUUGCACAAUGGGCGCAAGCCUGAUGCAGAGACGCCGCGGGGGGGAUGACGGCCUUCGGGUUGUAAACACCUUGCGCUAGGGACGAAGCUUUUUGUGACGGUACCUAGAGAAGAAGCACCGGCUAACUACGUG